UUAAAAGUUUCGUUUCGGUCC
rnacentral:miRNA from 1 species